ACUCAAAUGAAUUGACGGGGGCCCGCACAAGCGGUGGAGCAUGUGGUUUAAUUCGAUGCAACGCGAAAAACCUUACCUACCCUUGACAUCCUUGGAAUCCUAUAGAGAUAUGGGAGUGCUUCGGAACCAAGAGACAGGUGCUGCAUGGCUGUCGUCAGCUCGUGUCGUGAGAUGUUGGGUUAAGUCCCGUAACGAGCGCAACCCCUAUACUUAGUUGCUAAUUACGCAAGUGAUGCACUCUAAGUAGACUGCCGGUGACAAACCGGAGGAAGGUGGGGAUGAUGUCAAGUCAUCAUGGCCCUUAUGGGUAGGGCUACACACGUGCUACAAUGGGCAGUACAGAGGGUGUUGAAACCGCAAGGUGGAACGAAUCUCACAAAGCUGUUCGUAGUCCGGAUUGGAGUCUGCAACUCGACUCCAUGAAGUUGGAAUCGCUAGUAAUCGCAAAUCAGCAUGUUGCGGUGAAUACGUUCCCGGGCCUUGCACACACCGCCCGU
rnacentral:rRNA from 1 species